GAUGAACGCUGACAGAAUGCUUAACACAUGCAAGUCAACUGUGGCGGACGGGUGAGUAACGCGUAAAGAACUUGCCUCACAGUUAGGGACAACAUUUGGAAACGAAUGCUAAUACCUGAUACUGUGAGAGGGCUUUGCGUCCCAUUAGCUAGUUGGAGAGGUAACGGCUCACCAAGGAGAUGAUGGGUAGCCGGCCUGAGAGGGUGAUCGGCCACAAGGGGACUGGGGAACUGGCAUUACUCCUACGGGAGGCAGGAGUGGGGAAUAUUGGCCAAUGGGCCGAAGUCUGAUCAAGCAAUUCGGUGUGAAAAAUGCAGUUUUCGGAAUGUAAAGUGCUUUCAGUUGGGAAGCGGUACCAACAGAAGAAGUGACGGCUAAAUACGUGCCAGCCGCCGCGGUAAUAC
rnacentral:rRNA from 1 species